rnacentral:rRNA from 1 species
AGUUCGAUUAUGGCUCAGAUUGAACGCUGGCGGGAUGUGGCUUUACAUGCAAGUCGAACGGCGGCGCGGACUUCGGUCUGGUGGCGAGUGGCGAACGGGUGAGUAAUGUAUCGGAACGUGCCUAGUAGCGGGGGAUAACUACGCGGCGUAGCUAUUACCGCAUACGCCCUUCGGGGGAAAGCGGGGGACCUUCGGGCCUCGCCACUAUUGAAGCAGCCGAUAUCGGAUUGGCUAGUUGGUGGGGUAACGGCUCACCAGGGCGACGAUCCGUAGCUGGUUUGAGAGGACGACCAGCCACACUGGGACUGAGACACGGCCCAGACUCCUACGGGAGGCAGCAGUGGGGAAUUUUGGACAGUGAAACCUGAUCCAACCAUCCCGCGUGUGCGAUGAAGGCCUUCGGGUUGUAAAGCACUUUUGGCAGGAAAGAAACGGCACGGAAGUAAUACCCCGAUGCAACUGACAGUACCUGCAGAAUAAGCACCGGCUAACUUUACGUGCCAGCAGCCGCGGUAAUACGUAAGUGCAAGCGUUAAUCGGAAUUACUGGGCGUAAAGCGUGCGCAGGCGGUUCCGGAAAGAAAAGUGUGAAAUCCCAGAGCUUAACUUUGGAACUGCAUUUUUAACUACCGAGCUAGAGUGUGUCAGAGGGAGGUGGAAUUCCGCGUGUAGCAGUGAAAUGCGUAGAUAUGCGGAGGAACACCGAUAGCGAAGGCACAGCCUCUGGGAUAACACUGACGCUCAUGCACGAAGCGUGGGGAGCAAACAGGAUUAAGAUACCCUGGUAGUCCACGCCCUAAACGAUGUCAACUAGCUGUUGGGGCCUUCGGACACGCUUGGUAGCGCAACUAACGCGUGAAGUUGACCGCCUGGGGAAGUACGGUCGCAAGAUUAAAACUCAAAGAAAUUGACAGGGACCCGCACAAGCGGUGGAUGAUGUGGAUUAAUUCGAUGCAACGCGAAAAACCUUACCUACCCUUGACAUGUCUGGAAUCGAAGAGAUUUGGGAGUGCUCAUAAGAGAACCGGAACACAGGUGCUGCAUGGCUGUCGUCAGCUCGUGUCGUGAGAUGUUGGGUUAAGUCCCGCAACGAGCGCAACCCUUGUCAUUAGUUGCUACGAAAGGGCACUCUAAUGAGACUGCCGGUGACAAACCGGAGGAGAAGGUGGGGAUGACGUCAAGUCCUCAUGGCUUAUGGUAGGGAGCUUCACCACGUCAUACAAUGGUCGGGACAGAGGGUCGCCAACCCGCGAGGCCCAAUCGAAGCCCGAUCGUAGUCGGAUCUGAUCUGCAAACUCGACUGCGUGAAGUCGGAAUCGCUAGUAAUCGCGGAUCGGCAUGUCGCGGUGAAUACGUUCCCGGGUCUUGUACACACCACCCGUCACACCGUGGGAGUGGGUUUUACCAGAAGUAGUUAGCCUAACCGUAAGGAGGGCGAUUACCACGGUAGGAUUCAUGACUGGAAGUGAAGUCGUAACAAAGAUAA